GAAAGGAAUCGGUUGGCGCCAGCCGCCAGGCCUCCCCCACCGCCUCUGCCCCGGCUACAAAAGGCGCCCCAGGCGCGCCCUCUCCUCCCCGCGCUCCGGUCCCUUCCUCUCUUCCGAACUCUCUCGUUCGCGACGGGCCGCGCCCCCACUCUCGCCUCCUCGCGAUUGCGCGACUGUUUCCUCCUCUCCCCGUUUCUCUCGUCCCUCAAUCUCGAUUCGCUUCGAAUCGCGUCUGAUUUGAGUUCGUUGACUCGCCGUCGCCGUUGCCUUGCCGUGUUCGCAGGGUAUGCGAGUCCGGCCCGGCCUCCUCCGCCUCCGUGCGAGCUCGGGAAGCGAUCGAUCGACCGAGGAAUUCAUCCGUUUGGGACCUCCAUCUGGUUUGCGGAUCCUCCUCAGAAUCUGUUUUGUGUGCUUGCAACUGUGGAUCCCGUGUUCCUCGUCGUGUUCGCGUCCCCGCGCGUUGGUUGCAUGCAGGAUCGUCGAGCCAGGUUUUUGGAAUUGGAGCUCUGAUAUGGAGCCGGAGGCCGAGGCAAGGUCAGUUUCCCGUGCGAGUUCAGAUCGCUUCCUCUGCGUUCGUCCGAGAUGCCAGAUUUCAAUCAAAUGGAUACAUGGCCCGUGUGAUCCUGUCGUUGCCCGAGCGCUGUGGUUUAUUUAUUCCCUAUCGUCCGUUAGUUCAAGGUGUAUCCAUUCGAGGCCUUCAAUUCGUGGAAGAUUCUCUUAUAUUGUGCCGGCUGAUCUCGGUUUUGGUAUGUCUUGUGCUCUCACCCUAGAUGCAGAGGAAGCCAGAGGGCGCGCUAGUUCUGCGGAGAUGGAGGUUUGAUUUAUUUUCAUGGUUAUUUUGAUUCGUCGGUUAAGGUUCAGCGGUUAUUCUGAAUUUCUGAUUGUUUAAGGUUAGGGUUCAGCGGUUAUUGUCCUGAUAUGGCCAGAUCUUCUCGUAUCAUGAAGCCUGUGAUCUCUUACCAGCCUGAACCUGCGAUCUGCGUUUGGAUAAUAUAAAUGGAUCCCUCCCAAUUUUAGUCAGUAGUUAACGGCAUGCAAUUCUGAUCUGAAUUCUUUGCUUGUCCAGAAAUUAUAAAUUGGAUUACACGCCAUAGCGGGAGCAACAUCUGCGUUUGGAUGAUUAAUUACCCCCUCUAUUUAAUUCCUUCAUCUGCACAGUUCAAUCUCAGUCGGUUCUGAUUUAGGUUUGUUGAUGGUUGUCCAGAAAUUGGGAUUAUAUGGCUUACCGGGAGCGACUUGUCAUUCUUCCUCACCUGUGUUUGGAUGAUCAUUCUCUCUUUGUUUAUUUCCUUUUCUUCACAGUUCAAUUACUCCCCAUACAAUUCUGAUUUGGAUCUGUUGCUCGUACUCCAGAAAAUUGGAUUAUAUGGCUUAACGGGUGGUCCUAUUUUCCCUCGGCAUGUCGGUUCUUUUUCUGUGGCUCAACAAUUUUUCUUACUCAUCAGUAAUAUAGUUAUUAAAGCACACCAGACAAGUUCUCUAUGCCUUAGUUUAUCGUUUGUCAUUUGUUAGCUAUUGCAGACACCGUCUUGGAACGGAUAUAGUUGGAACCGGUGCUAUCUACCUGACCUUCCCAGACGAACUUUCUUAUAACUUCUACCUCCUCCUCAUUUGAAGCAUGCUUUAGCUGAGCCUAGUUUCCCCCUAAUUUACAGAAAAGUAUCUUCCUCGUUGCAGGUUUGAGGAAUGCAAAGUCCAACCUGAUGCUGAGUUGAAUCUGUUUGCAGUUUUUUUCUAAUUCUGAUCUCUAAUCAAUUCAUCAUUACUUAGAUAACCUUUAAGAUCUUCUCACUAGGCAAUAUUUUAAAUUCAGAUUUAUCUGGGAAGGUGCAAGAAUGGAGCUUCAAACUUGGCAAAUCCUACAAUAAAAAAGAGACUCCUCCAUUUUUAACUUCGCCUCUUAUUUUUAUAUCACGUAGCUACUUGUUCAUGCCUUUGAUUUAGGCUUUUUUGCUUCUCCCCCCCUUGUGAUUGCAGAUUUAUUUUAGCCCAGAGCGUGCUGGUAGCAAUUCAAAAUCUGUUAAAAUCAUUUGGUUUGCAAUCUAUCUCUAUAUGGGUCGAUUUGUUCUCUGUACUCUUAUCCUGUAGGAAGUUUGGGCCUAUGGGCAAAUCUCUGUACAAUGAAUCAGGUCAGUGUUGUAUCAACGGUUUGUUUGGUUUAGUUGUUUGCCUCCCUCCACACAUUGGUUGCAGGACUGGAUCUGGAAUGUGGAGAUCCCUGUGGUGUUGUAUGUCGAAGGGGAUUGAGGCAGGUCAGAUUUGAAUCGUGCGGUCGUGUGGUUCUCAUCAUGUGUUCCAUCAUCAUCAGCUAAUAUGAGGUGGAUUUGAGGUCCUGGCGGACUCUUAUUGUAGCAACUGAUCGUUUGGUGUGUGUUUGUGCUCUUUUGCUUGCAGCAGGAGGGUAGUAGUUCUGCAUAGAUGAAUCAUAGGGUGGAGAUUUGGUCUCUGUUCAUCAUUUUGAUUGAUUGGAUUAUCAAGCUUUGGAUCUCUUACCAACCUGAACUUCUGAUCUGCGUUUGGAUAAUAAAUUCCGCCCCGGUUCAAUUUAUUUGGUUUGCAAAAUACAAUUUAGUCCUUGGCAGUUCUGAUCUAUAUUUGUGGUUUUCCAGAGAUGGGGUUAAUUGGUGGAUAUUUGGUUUCUGUUCAUCACUUUGACUGAUUGGAUUGGAACCUGGUGCUUGCGGUCUGCGUUUGGUUAAUGAAUUCUGUCCAGAUUCAAUUUAUUUGGUUUGCACAGUACAAUUAGUCCUUGGCAGUUUUGAUCUGUAUUUGUUAUUUGUUUGUGGUUUUCCAAAAAUUGGGCUUUAGCAGGAGCAACCUAUCUUCUUGUUGAUCUGUAAUUGGAUGAUUAUGAACCCCUCUAUUUAAUCCACAAUUCAAUUUUAGUCCCUGACAAUUCUGAUUUGGAUCUGUUAAUGGUUGUCCAGAAAUUGGGAUUAUGGCUUAGCGGGAGUGACCUAUCUUCUUGCUGACCUGUGUUUGGAUGAUCAUUACUCUCUGCUUAAUUUCUUCUCCACAGCUCAAUUAGUUAUCCGACAAUUCUGAUUUAGAUUUGUUGCUGGUUCUCCAGAAAUUGAACAUAUACGGCUUAGCGGGUGAUCCUAUGUUUCCUCGGCAUGGCGGUUCUUCCUGUGGCCCAAACAUAUCUGACCUUUUGUCCUCCCUUGAUUAUUGAAUUUCCUAGACAUUACUUUCUUUGCCUUAGUUGGUAAUUCUUAGGUCCUGCAGAUGCUGGCCUGGAAGCGAAAUAAUUGGAACCAGUGUUGUCCAGAAAUUGGGAUUAUGGCUUAGCGGGAGUGACCUAUCUUCUUGCUGACCUGUCUUUGGAUGAUCAUUACUCUCUGCUUAAUUUCUUCUCCACAGCUCAAUUAGUUAUCCGACAAUUCUGAUUUAGAUUUGUUGCUGGUUCUCCAGAAAUUGGACAUAUACGGCUUAGCGGGUGAUCCUAUGUUUCCUCAGCAUGGCGGUUCUUCCUGUGGCCCAGCCUAGUUUUCCUGUUAACUUAUAGAAAGAUCUGCAAAGGUUCAACAAUGGAGAUUCAAACUAAUGGAACAUCCUACAAUGAAAAGACUAUUUUUAACCCACCUCUUAUAUUUUGUUUCACGUAGCUACUUGUUUAUGCCUUUAAUUUAGGUUUUUCUUUCUACCCUCCCUUUGGUUGCAGAUUAAGCCCAAACCAUGCUGGUAGUGAAUCGGAAUCUCUGUUAAAAUCGUUUGGUUUGCAAUCUCUCUCUCUCUCUGGAUCGAUUUGUUGUUUGUACUCUUGAUCCCCGUGCUGGCCUUCUGCGUGUAUCAGUUGCAGGAUAUAUUUAGGGAGUCUGGGCCUAUGUGCAGGAUAUAUUUGGAUAUGUUGGUGGUUCUCCAGAAAUUGGAAUUAUAUGGCUUAGCGGGAGCGACGCAUCUUGCUGCUCUAUGUUUGGAUAAUUAUCACUCUCUGUUUUACUCUUUCGUCUCCACUGUUCUGUUUUGGUUUCCCACAAUUCUAAUUUAUACUAUUUCUUGGUGGCUCUCCAGAAAUUGGAAUAAUAUGGAUUAGAAGGCGGUCCUAUUUUGCCUCGGCAUGGCAGUUCCUUCUAUGACUAAAAACCUUUUCAACCUUUUUUACUCUAUAAUUGAACUCUCUAGACAUUAGGUUUUCUUUGCCUUAGUACUUAUCAGCUCUUGCAGAUACUGACUUGGAAAGGAUAUAACUGCAGUUUGGAACCGGCGUUGUUGUCCUCCAUCAUCCAUACCUGACCCUAGACAGGCUUUACUUGUUCCCACUCAAUCAUCCAUGCUUUAGCUAUUUAUAAGCAGCAUUUCCCCUAACAAUUUUUUUAUAGAAACGGUCUCUUGCUCGCUGCAGGUUGUAGUUGACAAACUCCUGUCCAGCCUGAUGAUGAAUCCAUCUACUGAUCUUCGAAGUCUACAGUGUCGUUUCAAUUCAUUGCAACUUACAUAAUCUAUAAAUUAUCUUACUAGACAAUAUUUUAAAUACAGAUUCAUAUGCAGCACGAAUAUAUAGGAUGAUCCAGAGAUUUCAACUAAUGGUUCAUCCUACAACCGAAAAAGACUAUAACCUUCCUUUUUUUAAAUUUCAUUUAGUUACUUGGCCAUCUCUCUGAUAUAGGUUUUUGCCCCUGCCCUUCCUAUGGUUGCAGAUUUUUCUUUAGCCCAGGCCAUGUGGGCGAUGACUAACUCUUGAUCCCUGUGUUUUAUUGGUCUUCUGCGUGUGUGGAGUUGGCAAUAUAUAAUUUUUAUUAGGAGUUUGGGCCCAAACCUUUGCUCUGUACAUGCAGUCAGGUCAGUGUCUCGUAGACGGUCUGUUUGUUUCAUGUGUUAUCGCCGCCUCUACAAUUUGGCUUGCAGGACUGGAUCUUGAUCUGGUCUGGAAGUAAAUCUCCAUGUGGGUUGUGAACGUAUGGUGAAGGGGACUCGAGGCAGGCCAGUUUCCCAUGUUUCGUCACAUUAGUUUACUGGAUUCCUCAUCUGUGCUUGGUGAUGUCAGAUUUGAGUGGCACAUUAAGUUCUUCGAUUUAUGUUCGUCUGAUGGCUGUUUGGGAUCUUCGUUUGGAAUCUUCUGCAACCACAAAAACUUACACUUGGACUCCAUGCCUGUUUCAACUGAUUUACUAGAUUUCACUAUGGUCUGACUUUCCUUGAAGAAACUUUAAGUAUGCUGAUUAUAUUUGGGCCGUUCAUUGAUUUGCAUUGUUGGAGGUUUUAUUGCAAGACUGUAGAGUUGGAUAGUCAGUUAGCGCGGGGACUUGGUGAAGCAAAUGGACUUUCCUGAUGGUUUUGACCUCUGAUUACUGAUCCUGAAGCAUAAUGAUUUGGUCUUUGUGAUGUUUUUCAGUUUGAACUUGCAUUCAGUGGCCUCAUAUCUUUGGUGCAGCUUGGAGUUGGUAGUGUGCACAUCUGAUGAUUCUUUCAACUGUCCUAAAGCAUCUUACCUGGUUUCUGUUGUGCCAUCCUGCUGGUUACGGUCUCUUAUUCAACUUGCAUGUGGUUUGGAUGGAAUAUGAUCUUAUCUUUUACUCGAAUCAAGAAAAUGCUAGAAGUCUCAAACAAGGGUCCAAAAUGGAAAUAUCAGUUCCUACUCAGUUUGUAUAGCAGAUUAUCGAAGUUUGACUUGGCUAUUAAUUACCUGGUUACCAUACUGUUUCAUGAAGUUUGGUUUUGGUAUUUGGCUGCUUGUAUCUUUCAACUUGCAAAUUUAUCACCCAAUAGGAAGUAAAGAUCAUAUGUACAUGAGCUCUGAAUGCAGUAAAAAUGUUAAAUCAUAUUAUAUGAAUAUAUGUGAAUUGGUCAUACUUGGAUUUAUCAGUCUACUAUUCUACAUACUCUUGUCCAUGAUUGUACUUGGUUUGUUUAUAUACGUUCUUUAGGUUCAUCUUAUGACACAAAUCAAAUUUUAGUGUGCACAUAAUUUUUAACUGAAAGAUCCCACCCUCGCAUUUGUGUUGGUUUAACAGUAGUGGCCUCCUGUAGUUUGGUAAUAUUGAUGACUUUGAUAUUUGGAUAUUAAAGAUGUUAGGAGUAUAAAACAAUGGAGAGUUGAAGGUUCUGAACUAGAAGCUUGAACAAAUAUUUUGCCCUGAACACUCCUCAUGUCCACUGAAUAUGAUUCUGGUUUGUUGAUAUGGAGUUGAUUUUCAGAAGUGAUGUUAUUCACAUUGGUGCUUCUCUUGUGAGAUCUGGAUUCUUCAAUGCAUCUUCUCGGUUUGCUGGGGAACUUCCUACGUUAAAUUGACAACUAACAAAAAAAUCUGGCUAAUUUGACGAUUCAUAAACACUCUGGCAAAUUUGAUGAUGAAUCCCGCUGAUUACUUUCAACAUACAGCAGUUUGUUUUCAUACCUCAUUCGUCCUGGAUUUAAAGACACAUCUCUACGGUCUUCCAAUGGCUCAUUUGAUCUCUUUACAGCAAACUGCUAAUUUGAUCUUGAUUAUGGAAUCUACCAUUACAUAUUCUUAUUAAAUAUAUAAUAAUUUCAUAGCGUUUACACAUCUGACAGUCCUCUAAUGGCUAAUUUGACCUUCUUUUCGGCCGAACUGCUAAUUUGAUAUGGAUUAUGGAAUCUUCAAUUACGUAAAUCUAUAAUUUCAUAGCAUUCACAUCUGGCUGUCCUCUAAUGGCUAAUUGACCUUCUUUUCUGACGAACUGCUAAUUUGAUCUGGAUUCUGAAUCUUGAACCACAUAUUCUCUUUAAUUACAUAUUCGUAGUUUUCUGGAAAUUUCCUAGUUUUAAUAUAGUUGGCAACUAGCAAAAGUACUAAUUUGAUGAUUCCUGUUGAUUGCUUAGACAAACCCAUUCUGUUUCAUACUACAUAAUAUAUAGAUUUUACAGACAGGGAAGUAUCUGUUCACACAUCUUAGGGUCCUCUGACCCUGUAUAAACUAUGAAAGCUUUCUCUGUGCAAAGAUUUGAAUCUCGCUCAUGAGCUCAUCCCACUAGAUAGUUCUGGAAUUUAUGGCAUUCUUUGUUUGUGCCCCAUGUCAGUCUUAUGAUGUUGUGAAAACGUUGCGUGGAUAUUUAUUGCCAAUCGCUUGUCGUGCCAAUGCUGCCUUUGGUUGAUUGCGUGGCUUGUAUGCUUAGCUGAAUAUAAUUGUUUGUAGUGUUUGCUAUUUUUUGUGUUUAAGUAGGAGUAGUUUAACACUGCCUUUGCCGGUCCCAAGCCCGGAUGAGAAAAUGUGGAGGGGACUGCAGUUAGUUCCUCUGUAUCGUUUGCAUUAGAACUGUCAUGGUCUCCUAAUAUUUUACAUCGAGUAGUAGUGAAUGAAGUGAGUAGAAGUUGCACAGACUGUCUUAGCCGAAUACCGAAUCGUUACACAAUGUGGCAAGCUUUGGAAUGAAUCCUUAGAGAAUCUGGGCAGUUGUAAUUUGAUUCCUAGCUGUACAAGGUCGGUGUUAUAACUUACAUUCCCAGAGGGAAGUGAGUGUAUAGGAAGCUUUGAAUGAAAGGCCUCAUGUACCAUAAUUCUCAAGAAAAGAGUUCAAGUUGUGGGUAACUGCUUCCCCAGAAAAUGCUGUGGUAUUGUAGGUAAUGGAAGCCUGACCUGCAGUAUGCAAGCAAGUCGGGAUGGUUCACGAGUUCCCUGACAAUUUCAGUUUCAGUAAACUAGCAGGUAUGGUUUGCAUGACUGAUCCUGAUACUGCACUUGGAUGGCGUGGUAAUCAUAGCAGUGAUGCAGGAGAUGGGAAAUACAUCACUACUAGUUGAGUUAAUGAUGUCUAUAGUACCAGGUUAGUAGAGGAAUUGUAAUAAUCUGUAAAAGCAAGUUCAGGGUGUGUUGGGAAAUACAUUACUGGUUGUCUUUGAGCA